AAGCGGAAGAAGGAAAGAGAGAAAAAGAAACAAAAGUAAUAAACAGAUUAUCCCAUCGAUAUAAGCAACAUAUUUAACAUAAGCAUGUUUAAUUAUGUUAAUAAAAUUCAAUUAUAAUUCACUCUGGAACGACACUUUGUUAUGUAUCCUUGAUGGCUUCUCCAUGCUAAACGAAAAAAUAAACCGAAUAAAGAACGAAGAAGAAAGAAAAGGGAGAAAGAAAGAGAAGAUAAAAGUAAAACGAGAAAGAAGCGUUUGUUCAAAUAUGAUCGUUUGUAUGCAGUGUUGUUCUUUACCUGACGGCGACGCUCCCCUGGCUGCUACAAUAAAUCAGGAAUCAUAAAUGAUUGUAAUUAACAGAUGAUCAAUUUAAGGCAGGGAUACAGCAUGGUGUAUAGCCAUUAGGUUGUAUCUCAAUACUGAUCUUUAUAAUUAAAUGAUAUAACCAAUUUAAGAAGAGUGAAACAUUUAUGUCUUAUUUUUAUACUCACGAUGGAGGAAGCAGUCGUAUUUGAAGCAUCUUCUACAAAAUAAUGUAUGGAAGGAAUGCAUUGUUUGUUCUCUAGGUACACUCUUUGCAUUCACUCCAUCAAUAUUUGGUGUACAUUCUGGAGGUAAGAUAUUGGGAUCCGAUCUCUCCGUUAAUUCUAUAUAUUUUUCUUUCAAUUCUUCUGGCCUACCUUUAUCAGGAAACAUACUAGAUAUUGCCUAAAGAAUUAAUAUAAUGAUACUAUAAAUGUUAUAAAUAAUAAGGUAAAAUUAGUUUCUAUAUAUACCACUUACAUUAAAUAUAUGCAUAGAUGGAAA